GGGUAAGGGGCACACAGAGCAGGCCGUGAGUGACUGUGCCAUGUGCUAGACCCUCCUCCAACCUGGGGAACUGUGGUUGUCAUAUCAGUCAGCCUUCGGGUUUGCAGCUGCUGUUGUUGAAUGCCAGGUGAUUCUGUCAUAUAAUAGUGAAUUCUGUCCUUCUUGGUAUAAUGAAGACACCAUUGAUGAUGUGCUCAUUUCUAUCAAUAUGACACAAUCAACAAGAGAACACUAAAACACAAACAACUUCUUUUUGCAGAAU